rnacentral:rRNA from 1 species
GGAUGCGAUCAUACCAGCACUAAAGCACCGGAUCCCAUCAGAACUCCGAAGUUAAGCGUUUUUGGGCGAGAGUAGUACUAGGAUGGGUGACCUCCUGGGAAGUCCUCGUGUUGCAUUCC